rnacentral:rRNA from 1 species
CAUACGGGGUGCUGCAGUGGGGAAUAUUGGACAAUGGGCGAAAGCCUGAUCCAGCCAUGCCGCGUGUGUGAAGAAGGCCUUCGGGUUGUAAAGCACUUUCAGUGGGGAAGAAAGCCUUGGGGCUAAUACCCUCGAGGAAGGACAUCACCCACAGAAGAAGCACCGGCUAACUCCGUGCCAGCAGCCGCGGUAAUACGGAGGGUGCGAGCGUUAAUCGGAAUUACUGGGCGUAAAGCGCGCGUAGGCGGUCUGAUAAGCCGGUUGUGAAAGCCCCGGGCUCAACCUGGGAACGGCAUCCGGAACUGUCAGGCUAGAGUGCAGGAGAGGAAGGUAGAAUUCCCGGUGUAGCGGUGAAAUGCGUAGAGAUCGGGAGGAAUACCAGUGGCGAAGGCGGCCUUCUGGACUGACACUGACGCUGAGGUGCGAAAGCGUGGGUAGCAAACAGGAUUAGAUACCCGGGUAGUC